rnacentral:rRNA from 1 species
GCGCCCGGGCUAAAGCCCCGACGGGAGGGGAUGGCUCCGCGGCCCAUCAGGUAGACGGCGGGGUGACGGCCCACCGUGCCGACAACGGGUAGCCGGGUUGAGAGACCGACCGGCCAGAUUGGGACUGAGACACGGCCCAGACUCCUACGGGAGGCAGCAGUGGGGAAUCUUGCGCAAUGGGGGGAACCCUGACGCAGCGACGCCGCGUGCGGGACGGAGGCCUUCGGGUCGUAAACCGCUUUCAGCAGGGAAGAGUCAAGACUGUACCUGCAGAAGAAGCCCCGGCUAACUACGUGCCAGCAGCCGCGGUAAUACGUAGGGGGCGAGCGUUAUCCGGAUUCAUUGGGCGUAAAGCGCGCGUAGGCGGCCCGGCAGGCCGGGGGUCGAAGCGGGGGGCUCAACCCCCCGAAGCCCCCGGAACCUCCGCGGCUUGGGUCCGGUAGGGGAGGGUGGAACACCCGGUGUAGCGGUGGAAUGCGCAGAUAUCGGGUGGAACACCGGUGGCGAAGGCGGCCCUCUGGGCCGAGACCGACGCUGAGGCGCGAAAGCUGGGGGAGCGAACAGGAUUAGAUACCCUGGUAGUCCCAGCCGUAAACGA